AUUGAACGCUGGCGGCAGGCCUAACACAUGCAAGUCGAACGGUAACAGGAAGCAGCUUGCUGCUUCGCUGACGAGUGGCGGACGGGUGAGUAAUGUCUGGGAAGCUGCCUGAUGGAGGGGGAUAACUACUGGAAACGGUAGCUAAUACCGCAUAAUGUCGCAAGACCAAAGAGGGGGACCUUCGGGCCUCUUGCCAUCGGAUGUGCCCAGAUGGGAUUAGCUUGUUGGUGGGGUAACGGCUCACCAAGGCGACGAUCCCUAGCUGGUCUGAGAGGAUGACCAGCCACACUGGGACUGAGACACGGUCCAGACUCCUACGGGAGGCAGCAGUGGGGAAUAUUGCACAAUAGGCGCAAGCCUGAUGCAGCCAUGCCGCGUGUAUGAAGAAGGCCUUCGGGUUGUAAAGUACUUUCAGCGGGGAGGAAGGGAGUAAAGUUAAUACCUUUGCUCAUUGACGUUACCCGCAGAAGAAGCACCGGCUAACUCCGUG
rnacentral:rRNA from 1 species